UUGUGGCAUAUUCUUGAAAAUGCGUUCUAGUUCCUCGAGAGCGUUCGACUCCGAUGCAUUCCCCAGAUCCAUAAAUAUCAAAGCGAUUACGUGAUUCAUCAUCUCCUCGUAGUUGCGGCUAAGCAAAUGAUAGAUAUGAUUUUUGAUGUCCUUCAAGAAGGUGCAAAUGUCCUCGGCGAUUCUUCGUAACGAAUUUGAUGAUUUGGCGGUGCCCUCGUCCAAGCUCUUGUUGGCCAAAAACGCAAUAACAGUGCCAAGUCUAUAAACCAACAGCUAUUUAUAUAUCUCUUAUACACUUGUCGCACACUUACAGGAUGAGGAGGAUGAGCAGCAGCAGUAGCAUGCCACACAUGCAGCGUAGUUUGGCGUCCCGUUUACUAUCGCAGGGCGGGCAACUUUGCGGACAACGGCGACAACAACAAAAGCAACAAUACAACACACUGCACAAAGGAGUAAAAAAGGAUGAAUGUGAAUCGUGAAUUUGCUUGAAGUCAAUUUUGGAGGUUACUCACGCAAUAAAUGGAAUGAUUAUGAUGAGGGCUAGCAGAAAACCAA